UUUGGGUGGUGUUCAGGUGUGUGGAUGGGUAGGGGAGCGUCGUGUCAUGGGUGAAGCAGCCUGGUGAUGGGUUGUGGACGUGACACGAGUGAGAAUGCAGGCAUGAGUAGCGAAUCAAGUGUGAGAAACACUUGCGCCGAAUGAUCAAGGGUUCCAGGGUCAAGCUAAUCUGCCCUGGGUAAGUCGGGACCUAAGGCGAGGCCGACAGGCGUAGUCGAUGGACAACGGGUUGAUAUUCCCGUACCGGUGAAGUAGCGCCCAUGGCGAGGCUGGUGAUGCUAACUGCCCGAAACACCACGGUGCUCCCUUCGGGGGGUGGUGUGUGUGCGUAGCGCGGGACCCGAGCCAGUAGUAGUCAAGUGAUGGGGUGACGCAGGAAGGUAGUCGAACCACGGCGAUGGUUGUCCGUGGCCAAGCAUGUAGGGAGUGGUCCAGGUAAAUCCGGGCUGCGGUGCUUUGAUGCACGAUCCUGAGGUGUGAUGGGGACCCGUUUUGGGGUAGUCGAUGAUCCUAUGCUGUCGAGAAAAACCUCUAGCGAGUUACGAGCCGCCCGUACCCGAAACCGACUCAGGUGAUCAGGUAGAGAAUACCAAGGCGAUCGAGUGAACCAUGGUUAAGGAACUCGGCAAAUUGCCCCCGUAACUUCGGGAGAAGGGGGGCCGGAUCCGUGAACCCACUUGCUGGGGGUAGCGGUGAUGGCCGCAGAGACCAGGCCCAAGCGACUGUUUACUAAAAACACAGGUCCGUGCGAAGUUGUAAGACGAUGUAUACGGACUGACUCCUGCCCGGUGCUGGAAGGUUAAGAGGACCUGUUAGAGCGCAAGCUCGAAGCGGAGAAUUUAAGCCCCAGUAAACGGCGGUGGUAACUAUAACCAUCCUAAGGUAGCGAAAUUCCUUGUCGGGUAAGUUCCGACCUGCACGAAUGGAGUAACGACUUGGGCGCUGUCUCAACCGUGGACUCGGCGAAAUUGCACUACGAGUAAAGAUGCUCGUUACGCGCGGCAGGACGGAAAGACCCCGGGACCUUUACUAUAGUUUGGUAUUGGUGUUUGGUUCGGCUUGUGUAGGAUAGGUGGGAGACUGUGAAGUUCACACGCUAGUGUGGGUGGAGUCGACGUUGAAAUACCACUCUGGUCGUACUAGAUGUCUAACCUCGGACCAUGAUCUGGUUCAGGGACAGUGCCUGAUGGGUAGUUUAACUGGGGCGGUUGCCUCCUAAAGAGUAACGGAGGCGCUCAAAGGUUCCCUCAGCCUGGUUGGCAAUCAGGUGUUGAGUGUAAGUGCACAAGGGAGCUUGACUGUGAGACAGACAUGUCGAGCAG
rnacentral:rRNA from 1 species